GUCGAGCGAGAACCGUAGCAAUACGGGGACAGCGGCGAAAGGGACAGUAAUGUGUAGGUACCUACCCCCGGGUUCGGGAUAGCUGCGGGAAACUGCAGGUAAUACCGAAUAAUGUCUCCGGACCAAAGGUGUGAUUCCACCUGGGGAGGGGCCUGCAUCCUAUUAGCUUGUUGGUGGGGUAACGGCCUACCAAGGCAACGAUGGGUAGCGGGUGUGAGAGCAUGACCCGCGUCAUUGGGACUGAGACACUGCCCAGACACCUACGGGUGGCUGCAGUCGAGAAUCUUCGGCAAUGGGCGAAAGCCUGACCGAGCGACGCCGCGUGCGGGAUGAAGGCCCUCGGGUUGUAAACCGCUGUCGUAGAGGAGGAAAUGCAGGGGGGUUCUCCCCUUUGCUUGACCUAUUCUAGGAGGAAGUACGGGCUAAGUUCGUGCCAGCAGCCGCGGUAAGACGAACCGUACAAACGUUACUCGGAAUUACUGGGCUUAAAGGGUGCGUAGGCUGCGCGGAAAGUUGGGUGUGAAAGCCCUCGGCUCAACCGAGGAAUUGCAUUCAAAACUACCGUGCUCGAGGGAGACAGAGGUAAGCGGAACUCAAGGUGGAGCGGUGAAAUGCGUUGAUAUCUUGAGGAACACCGGUGGCGAAGGCGGCUUACUGGGUCUCUUCUGACGCUGAGGCACGAAAGCUAAGGUAGCAAACGGGAUUAGAUACCCCGGUAGUCUUAGCUGUAAACGAUGAGCACUUGAUUGGAGGGUCCUCCAUAGCCUUCCAGUCGUAGCGAAAGUGUUAAGUGCUCCGCCUGGGGAGUAUGGUCGCAAGGC
rnacentral:rRNA from 1 species